rnacentral:rRNA from 1 species
GCCCGGGCGGCGUGCUUACACAUGCAAGUCGAACGGAAAGGCCCUGCUUUUGUGGGGUGCUCGAGUGGCGAACGGGUGAGUAACACGUGAGUAACCUGCCCUUGACUUUGGGAUAACUUCAGGAAACUGGGGCUAAUACCGGAUAGGAGCUCCUGCUGCAUGGUGGGGGUUGGAAAGUUUCGGCGGUUGGGGAUGGACUCGCGGCUUAUCAGCUUGUUGGUGGGGUAGUGGCUUACCAAGGCUUUGACGGGUAGCCGGCCUGAGAGGGUGACCGGCCACAUUGGGACUGAGAUACGGCCCAGACUCCUACGGGAGGCAGCAGUGGGGAAUAUUGCACAAUGGGCGGAAGCCUGAUGCAGCAACGCCGCGUGCGGGAUGACGGCCUUCGGGUUGUAAACCGCUUUCGCCUGUGACGAAGCGUGAGUGACGGUAAUGGGUAAAGAAGCACCGGCUAACUACGUGCCAGCAGCCGCGGUGAUACGUAGGGUGCGAGCGUUGUCCGGAUUUAUUGGGCGUAAAGGGCUCGUAGGUGGUUGAUCGCGUCGGAAGUGUAAUCUUGGGGCUUAACCCUGAGCGUGCUUUCGAUACGGGUUGACUUGAGGAAGGUAGGGGAGAAUGGAAUUCCUGGUGGAGCGGUGGAAUGCGCAGAUAUCAGGAGGAACACCAGUGGCGAAGGCGGUUCUCUGGGCCUUUCCUGACGCUGAGGAGCGAAAGCGUGGGGAGCGAACAGGCUUAGAUACCCUGGUAGUCCACGCUGUAAACGGUGGGUACUAGGUGUGGGGUCCAUUCCACGGGUUCCGUGCCGUAGCUAACGCUUUAAGUACCCCGCCUGGGGAGUACGGCCGCAAGGCUAAAACUCAAAGGAAUUGACGGGGCCCCGCACAAGCGGCGGAGCAUGCGGAUUAAUUCGAUGCAACGCGUAGAACCUUACCUGGGUUUGACAUGGAUCGGGAGUGCUCAGAGAUGGGUGUGCCUCUUUUGGGGUCGGUUCACAGGUGGUGCAUGGCUGUCGUCAGCUCGUGUCGUGAGAUGUUGGGUUAAGUCCCGCAACGAGCGCAACCCUUGUUCACUGUUGCCAGCACGUUAUGGUGGGGACUCAGUGGAGACCGCCGGGGUCAACUCGGAGGAAGGUGGGGAUGACGUCAAGUCAUCAUGCCCCUUAUGUCCAGGGCUUCACGCAUGCUACAAUGGCUGGUACAGAGAGUGGCGAGCCUGUGAGGGUGAGCGAAUCUCGGAAAGCCGGUCUCAGUUCGGAUUGGGGUCUGCAACUCGACCUCAUGAAGUCGGAGUCGCUAGUAAUCGCAGAUCAGCAACGCUGCGGUGAAUACGUUCCCGGGGCUUGUACACACCGCCCGUCAAGUCAUGAAAGUUGGUAACACCCGAAGCCGGUGGCCUAACCGUUGUGGGGGAGCCGUCGAAGGUGAUCUGGU